GCCCCCCCCGACCUCCGACCUCCAGACGGGAACGUUCUAGAUGGUUCCGUGUGUGUUAGCCCCUAGUAGAACCUCACUUGGGGGGUUCCCACCCUGGUGGGGUCAGUGGCCCCCGGGCUGGGUCCGAACAUUCUGGGGACACCUUCCUGCAACUGCUGCCACACACAUUGCUUCAAGCUCAUCCACACCACACUAACCAGUCGUCACGCUAACUACUACUGGUUAGCAGUAGUCACACUAGGUACUACUGGUUAGCAGUAGUUACACUUACUACUACUGAUUAGUAAUAGUUACACUAACUCCUACUGAUUAGUAGUAGUCACACUAGGUAUUACUGGUUAGUAGUAGUUACACAAAUUACCUUGUUGGGACACAACAAUAUUCUCUAUCUAUGGAGAUGCUUCCAGCCCUAGCUUAUCAGUCAGCUAUCAUCCGGGACCCGAUAGGGAACCUCGGGAGCCAAAAAUGGCUCCCGAGCCACAGAUUGGGCAACCCCUACCAAUCCUUACCAGACAUCUACAGUAGCGUGCUGCUCCACAUGGCCUUUCACCAGGGUAUACUGAGUCCCUGUCUGGCUGCUAAGCUGACAGCGGGUGCUAAGCUUGCUAGCUUGUGGGCUAGCGACCUUUAGGCUAGCUACAGCUCUGGUCUGGAACGAGGCUGAGAAAUUGAUUUUCUAUUAUUCCAUCUAUUUUAAUCAAACGCCUCCUGAUGUGAAUCUCCCUUUCACAUCUGCCGAUUCCUAUCACCUGCCAUGUGUCUCCACUCAUGCAAACCAUCCAUCCAUCACACACACUUACACACUUACACACUUACCCACUUACACACUUACACACACACACACACACACACACACACACACACAAAAACACUUACACCCAAACGCACACACACACACACACACACACUUACACACA